AAAUUCAGAUGCAUUAGAGAGGGACUGCUGUGAGGGGGAACGUGUGUCUGCUCGUGCCGUUUCAUCUCGUACAGAAAUAUGUGGAGGGUCCUUUGAGAACCGCCGGUUGAAAUUUCCAGUAAUGGAAUGGGUCCUUCACAGUGGGCUUGGCCUGAAGUGACAAACCUUGUAGACAAUGACAACAAGAAAACAAAGUGAACGCAACAUGGAGGAAACUCCAAAAAAGAACAAAUACCAUGUUGAGGAACACAGAAAAAGAGGAGUUACUCUUUAAGGCCAUUAUGGACACACAAAAAAUCUAUACUAUGUGCUAUUUAAUCAUCAAGUCAAUCACUUAUAAACUUAUACAAAACUGUUGCUUUACAGCUAAUAAAGAUUCUCAUAUAUGAA